AGCAGGAAGCACCUUUGCUUGUUCGGUCAGCCUGUGGGCAGAGGGCAGCUGUGUGGGGGGGCUGCUGCCACCAGCCAGAGAUGGUUUCUAAGGGCAGAGGGUAAACAGUCACCUUGGCUACUUGGGCGUGCCAUGGGCGGUGGUGGGUCAGCUCUGGAAUAUUCCGGGAAGUGAAGGAAGGAAAUGGGAGGCCUCGGGUUCUGAGAGCAAGGUGGAGGCCAUGAGCUGGAGGGCCCAAGAGGGUGUCUUUUGUCCUAUAAGGCUGGCUACACAGAAGCCAGGCCCAGCGGGAGGGCUGGGAUUCUCUCCUCCCCAGGGAGCAGGGUCCUGGCGACAGGACACCAGGGAGGCUUGUGCUCUGGUUGAGCCUGCUGCAUCCUGUGUGAUGGGACAGAAAGACAGCGUCUGGUUUCUCAUUCAUGACGAUUCCUUUCUGAUCCCAUAUCACCUGCUGUCUACUUUCCGUUUCAUUUAUUCAGCCCACAAAUAGUGAUCAUUUCAGGCUCUGAGCUAGGCCUGGGCUACAGCAGUGAAGACAACACAGGCUCUGUCUUCGGGGCACUUGCAGUCUGGAAUUGCGAGGUGAAACCACCUUCAGCAAAGCAAAGCAAAACACAGUGCAGCGGGGAGAGGAUCAGGUUGAUUGCAAGGCUGAGAUGAAUCCUUGGUACUGAGUAGGGACCUGCAAGCUUCAGUCUGGGAUUAGAAUUCUCUCAUGCUGGCCUUGGAGUUUGAGCGCUACCGAGACAGUCAAGCAGGUUUCCCCGCUGGAGAUUCUGGGAUGGCAAUUUUCAGAGGUGGGAAUAUUGCUAAGGCAGCUCUCCGAGCACCUGCAGGGGGUGGUUGGCACCAGCACCAGCCCAGGCACCUUCAAUCUCUAUUCUUGUUCUCCGUGGCUCAGCAAGACUUGUUCUCCAGGAAGCCUUCCCUGCCCAACACAAUCUACAGUGUCCUUCCCUUCCUCUAGGCCUUCAAUCCCCAGUGGACCUGCACCUGCCAUGGCUGUCUUCCCGCUGAUCCAGCCUUCCUGAAUGACCCCUCGACUUCUGGAAAGCCAGACUGGGUUACCUGACCAGCUGAAUGACCUGGAGUCACUUAAUCUCAUUGUCUGUCUGUUAACUCAGGAAUCAAUUUCCCAGAGCUUGUUGUAAGGAUUCAAUGAGAUAAUGCUUGGGAAGUGCCCAAAGGCAUCGUGGUAGAACACAGCAAUAAAUCGUGCUUCCCGUGGGGUUGUUA